rnacentral:rRNA from 1 species
AUCUCAGUUCAGACUGCAGGCUGCAACUCGCCUGCACGAAGUCGGAAUUGCUAGUAAUCGUAGGUCAGCAUACUACGGUGAAUAUGUUCCCGGGCCUUGUACACACCGCCCGUCAAACCAUGAGAGUUGGCAACACCCGAAGUCGGUAGUCUAACCGCAAGGAGGACGCCGCCGAAGGUGGGGUUGAUGAUUAGGGGUUUAAGUCGUAACAAGGUACC